rnacentral:rRNA from 1 species
CGCUAUUAAGGUUCGUUUGUUCAACGAUUAAAGUCCUACGUGAUCUGAGUUCAGACCGGAGUAAUCCAGGUCAGUUUCUAUCUAUAAAAAAUUUUUUCUAGUACGAAAGGACCGAAAAAAUAGAGCCCACUACCAAACAAUGCUCUUACACAGUUGAAAACAAAUAAAACACGCACACACAAACACAUCCUAGAACAGGAUAAA